ACAUGCAAGUCGAGGGGUAUGUUUCUUCGGAGACAGAGACCGGCGCACGGGUGCGUAACGCGUAUGCAAUCUACCUUUCACAGAGGGAUAGCCCAGAGAAAUUUGGAUUAAUACCUCAUAGUAUAGCAGCUUCGCAUGAAGAUGUAAUUAAAGAUUUAUCGGUGAAAGAUGAGCGUGCGUCCCAUUAGCUAGUUGGUAUGGUAACGGCAUACCAAGGCAACGAUGGGUAGGGGUCCUGAGAGGGAGAUCCCCCACACUGGUACUGAGACACGGACCAGACUCCUACGGGAGGCAGCAGUGAGGAAUAUUGGACAAUGGGCGCAAGCCUGAUCCAGCCAUGCCGCGUGCAGGAUGACGGUCCUAUGGAUUGUAAACUGCUUUUAUACGAGAAGAAACNCUGCUACGUGUAGCAGCUUGACGGUAUCGUAAGAAUAAGGAUCGGCUAACUCCGUGCCAGCAGCCGCGGUAAUACGGAGGAUCCAAGCGUUAUCCGGAAUCAUUGGGUUUAAAGGGUCCGUAGGCGGUCAGAUAAGUCAGUGGUGAAAGCCCAUCGCUCAACGGUGGAACGGCCAUUGAUACUGUCUGACUUGAAUUAUUAGGAAGUAACUAGAAUAUGUAGUGUAGCGGUGAAAUGCUUAGAGAUUACAUGGAAUACCAAUUGCGAAGGCAGGUUACUACUAAUAUAUUGACGCUGAUGGACGA
rnacentral:rRNA from 1 species